CCUANGGGGGGCAGCAGGCGAGAAAACUUUGCAAUGUGCGAAAGCACGACAAGGUUAAUCCGAGUGGUUUCUGCUAAAGAAACCUUUUGUCAGUCCUAGAAACACUAACGAAUAAGGGGUGGGCAAGUUCUGGUGUCAGCCGCCGCGGUAAAACCAGCACCUCAAGUGGUCAGGAUGAUUAUUGGGCCUAAAGCAUCCGUAGCUUGUUUUGUAAGUUUUCGGUUAAAUCCAUGCGCUUAACGUAUGGGCUGCCGGGAAUACUGCAUAACUAGGAAGUGGGAGAGGUAGACGGUACUCGGGAGGAAGGGGUAAAAUCCUUUGAUCUCUUGAUGACCACCUGUGGCGAAGGCGGUCUACCAGAACACGUUCGACGGUGAGGGAUGAAAGCUGGGGGAGCAAACCGGAUUAGAUACCCCANUANUC
rnacentral:rRNA from 1 species